rnacentral:rRNA from 1 species
GAUGAACGCUGGCGGCAUGCCUAAUACAUGCAAGUCGAACGGACCGAAGGGAAAGCUUGCUUUCCUUGAAGUCAGUGGCGAACGGGUGAGUAACACGUAGGUAACCUGCCCAUGUGCCCGGGACAACGCCUGGAAACGGGUGCUAAAACCGGAUAGGUAGAGAGAUCGCAUGAACUUUCUAUUAAAGGGGCUACGGCCCUGAACAUGGAUGGACCUGCGGUGCAUUAGCUAGUUGGUGAGGUAACGGCCCAUCAAGGCGACGAUGCAUAGCCGACCUGAGAGGGCGAACGGCCACAUUGGGACUGAGACACGGCCCAAACUCCUACGGGAGGCAGCAGUAGGGAAUUUUCGUCAAUGGGGGGAACCCUGAACGAGCAAUGCCGCGUGAGUGAAGACGGUCUUCGGAUUGUAAAGCUCUGUUGCGAGAGAAAAACGACACGGAUAGGGAAUGAUCCGUGGGUGAUGGUAUCUCGCCAGAAAGUC